UACUGUUUCACACUCCUCCUCUCUACAUACAUCUGAUGAUUAUAGGACUGAUUGCUUAUGGGUGGCUGGUGUAAGUUUCCUCUCCUAUUGCAUAAGCAAGUUUGUUUCCUCAUUAGGUCUGAAUGGGAAAGCUGAUGGGGAGCUUUGGGUACAUGGCUAAAUGGUAAGUCUUUGCUUGGAAUCUCCUAAACACCUGGAUUCUGAUACAAUGGGCCUAUCCUUUGCCCAGGAAUCUCCAUUUCUCUAGAAGAGAAUUUUAUUUUUGUUUCUUCACUUAGAGAUAAAGACUGGACUGCCAGUCUCUUGGAACCCAUCAUCUCUGGUUCUAAAGCCCUUGAGUCUCUCCAGGGAGACUUCUUCCCUGGCCCCCUGUAUCCUUCUUUUGCAUGUAUCUUAGCCUAGCUCCCUUCACUUGACUUCUCCCAGGAUAAUAUUCUAAUCCCACUUUUCUCCUCCCAGAAGCAUAUUAAAAGCUCUCAUCCACUGCAGACCAAUCCCUGUAUUCAUUUCUUUUUGGAUAUAUGCUUAAUGGUAAUAAGUGUGUGUUGGGGGGAAUAUGGUUUUAGUCUACUCUCUUGAAAUGGAAUCUUCUAGCUUAUUCAUCUUCUACAUAACAGCUAAACUGAGCGUUUGCCAAAAUUACAGCAUUUGUCUUUUAGUUUAUUUUCUGUUGCAAUAAUUGAAUACUUGAGUCUGGAUAACUUAUAAAGAAAAAGAAAAGAGGUUUAUUUUGGUUCAUGAUUUUGGAGGUUCAAUAGAAUGGUGCUUCAUGGAGAUAUAAAUUAGAAUCUUUUAACUUAUGCUUCCAACUAGCUACUGCGG
rnacentral:lncRNA from 1 species